rnacentral:rRNA from 1 species
GAGGGAAACGUUCUGAUAAUACUGGAUAAGUUAGUAUAUCGCAUGAUAUGCAAAAUGAAAGCUACGGCACUAAAGGAGAGCUUUGCGUCCUAUUAGCUAGUUGGUAAGGUAAGAGCUUACCAAGGCGAUGAUAGGUAGCCGGCCUGAGAGGGUGGACGGCCACAAGGGGACUGAGAUACGGCCCUUACUCCUACGGGAGGCAGCAGGG